rfam:Triticum urartu cultivar G1812 contig942311, whole genome shotgun sequence.
UGAAUAGUUUGCAUCCUCGCGACUAAUGGUAAGACUCAAUAAACAGCUUAAGCCCUGUCAUUAGCCGCGCGAAUCGUGCAACUUUCUUUCACUGAACAACAGUAUAACACUGUAGUGCCUGUUACAAAAUGGACAACUAAUAUUCAAAAAAAGGGGCCUUGUAGGCCCCUUACA